rnacentral:rRNA from 1 species
GGGUUGUGAGGUUAAGCGACUAAGCGUACACGGUGGAUGCCCUGGCAGUCAGAGGCGAUGAAGGACGUGCUAAUCUGCGAUAAGCGUCGGUAAGGUGAUAUGAACCGUUAUAACCGGCGAUUUCCGAAUGGGGAAACCCAGUGUGAUUCGUCACACUAUCAUUAACUGAAUCCAUAGGUUAAUGAGGCGAACCGGGGGAACUGAAACAUCUAAGUACCCCGAGGAAAAGAAAUCAACCGAGAUUCCCCCAGUAGCGGCGAGCGAACGGGGAGCAGCCCAGAGCCUGAAUCAGUGUGUGUGUUAGUGGAAGCGUCUGGAAAGGCGCGCGAUACAGGGUGACAGCCCCGUACACAAAAAUGCACAUAUUGUGAGCUCGAUGAGUAGGGCGGGACACGUGGUAUCCUGUCUGAAUAUGGGGGGCCCAUCCUCCAAGGCUAAAUACUCCUGACUGACCGAUAGUGAACCAGUACCGUGAGGGAAAGGCGAAAAGAACCCCGGCGAGGGGAGUGAAAAAGAACCUGAAACCGUGUACGUACAAGCAGUGGGAGCACGCUUAGGCGUGUGACUGCGUACCUUUUGUAUAAUGGGUCAGCGACUUAUAUUCUGUAGCAAGGUUAACCGAAUAGGGGAGCCGAAGGGAAACCGAGUCUUAACUGGGCGUUAAGUUGCAGGGUAUAGACCCGAAACCCGGUGAUCUAGCCAUGGGCAGGUUGAAGGUUGGGUAACACUAACUGGAGGACCGAACCGACUAAUGUUGAAAAAUUAGCGGAUGACUUGUGGCUGGGGGUGAAAGGCCAAUCAAACCGGGAGAUAGCUGGUUCUCCCCGAAAGCUAUUUAGGUAGCGCCUCGUGAAUUCAUCUCCGGGGGUAGAGCACUGUUUCGGCAAGGGGGUCAUCCCGACUUACCAACCCGAUGCAAACUGCGAAUACCGGAGAAUGUUAUCACGGGAGACACACGGCGGGUGCUAACGUCCGUCGUGAAGAGGGAAACAACCCAGACCGCCAGCUAAGGUCCCAAAGUCAUGGUUAAGUGGGAAACGAUGUGGGAAGGCCCAGACAGCCAGGAUGUUGGCUUAGAAGCAGCCAUCAUUUAAAGAAAGCGUAAUAGCUCACUGGUCGAGUCGGCCUGCGCGGAAGAUGUAACGGGGCUAAACCAUGCACCGAAGCUGCGGCAGCGACGCUUAUGCGUUGUUGGGUAGGGGAGCGUUCUGUAAGCCUGCGAAGGUGUGCUGUGAGGCAUGCUGGAGGUAUCAGAAGUGCGAAUGCUGACAUAAGUAACGAUAAAGCGGGUGAAAAGCCCGCUCGCCGGAAGACCAAGGGUUCCUGUCCAACGUUAAUCGGGGCAGGGUGAGUCGACCCCUAAGGCGAGGCCGAAAGGCGUAGUCGAUGGGAAACAGGUUAAUAUUCCUGUACUUGGUGUUAC